AUUAGAGGAUACAAACAAACAAACAAACUAAGCUUUGGAACUUCCGGCUCAUGGCGAACGUUGUCUGCUUGGAUCCCACGCGCUCCAUGAGAGCUGCGCAACGAGUGGGCAUCACGCGGUUGUUGUGACACCAUGAAUCGCCCUUGCUGCAUUGUGGGCUGCAAGUCCAGCGAUUGGCGACAAGUGAAGAUGAGACACCGUGUGCCUGGGGAAGGCAGCAGGCGAAUCGAGUGGCUGCAGCGUAUCGGACUGCCCGCAUCGGAUCGGCGGCAGUAUUUGCGCGUAUGUUGUCGCCACUUUCAGCUGGAAGAUUACGAACGCAAUUCUGCGCUUACGCAGCCAUUCGGCAUUCACAUGAGGAGGCAUCCCCUCAAAGCCUACGCACUGCCGUCGAUGUUCCUUCCUGGUGAAAAGCAUCACACACUGCCUCAGGGAAGUGUCAGAGAGUGUGGCACAGUUUUGGAACCUUCAGCCAGCCAGACAACCACGCCAAAAACUGUGCGCAAGGCACCCACAAGUACAGUGGCAACUUAGACAACAGUGGAAUGCCGGUCCAUCGCUAUGCAGGUGAACACGACACUGAAGGUGCUUGUUUCGGCCUACACACAAACAGCAGGUGCCUAGACCACAGAAGCUGCUGUACAGACACAGCGUGGUGCUUCAUCACAAAAAGCAGCAAUAUCAGCUUCAGCCGAUGUCGCUUCAGUGCCACAGCUUCCAGCAGGUUUCAGGCCUCUCUGUGGCUCAACACCUAUCCGAAUAGAUGAAUCUUCUUCCGCUGAGAAAGAAAAGCCAGCUGCCGUAACAUCUCUUGAAAUGGCUGAAUCUUUUCUUGCUGAGGAAGAAGAACCAGCUGCUGAUGAUCGAAUGGACGCAUCUUUCUCUGAUGAAGAAGAAGAGCCAGCUGCUGAAGCUGACGUUACAUACUUGCCCUCAUUUAUCAAAAGUUUCAGCAGGUAUUACAAGCUUUAGUUUUUGGUGGACUAACAACAAAGUUUAACUCUUUGACAAUACCAGAUGCUCAGCAAUUCAGUGAUCUUUAACAUGUGAUGAGCAUGUAGUCACAAACUAUUUCACAUACUGAAACCACCACUUGAGACAGUUAUUCUCUGGGGUUGUGUCUGCCCUUUCAUGUUUGCAACAAAGGAAGUUGACCCCCUUAGUUUCCUAAAACAUUUUACCUCAGAGUAGUAGUUCAUGACAGUUCACGUAUCUUUGCCAGAACACAAAUGGUCCUUUCGGCAGUGCAUGCUCAUUUUUUCUACCUAUGUGUUUCAAAACUACGAAUGUCAAGAGGCAGUUCCAUUCCUCUGAGAAGCCUGCCAAGACACUUCCAUGCAUUG